rnacentral:lncRNA from 10 species
CUGACCACUUGUUGACUAAGAGACAAGGGGAAAGUUAUCGAGCCUUUCUGUACCUGGCUUUUGCAUCUGUAAUAUGAGGGCAACGAAACCCAAAUCACAGAGUCCUCAUAAGGAAUAAAAGAAUUAGUAUACUUAUAGUACUUAGCAUGGUCCCUAGUACAUAGUAAAUGCUCAAUAAAUAUGAGAUGUAAUAAUGAUUACAAUGAUAAUAAUAAAGAUUUUUGACCACAACCAUCAAUUACUGUUCAUUAUUUACAGACUCCUCAAGUGGCACUCAAGACUCCGCCAGGCUUUUCCCAUUCUCACUUCCCACUUGCUCUCAACUCAACACAGUCCACCAUUGCACAGCACCUGUUUUCUCUCAUCUUCUCUUUUCGCCCCUUCCCACUGUGCCAGCCUGAGUUCCCUCAUUUCUUAGGUCAAGACGCCCUCACCUUGAUACACAGCUCAAUACAGGGCCUGAAAUGCCACUGAAUGGUUGGCAAUUAGUAAGUAUUUCUAAAAGAAAUAAAUGGCAUACUUUCAGGUAUUGGUUAUUCAUCAUGUUACUUUUCUGUAUUGUCAGAUGCACCCAGCAUGGGGGCCAGGUCUCUGGAGGGUCAGUUAGUAUCCAGUAGAAGGUACGUGUCUGGAUGAUGUUUCUGCCACUCCACUGCUGGGUAGAUAUUUUUGGGUUCCAUCACAGCAGCUUUUCAUAAAUUGUCUCAUUUCAUCCUCCCAACUAUUUCACAUUAUUCCCAUUUAGAGAUGGGAAAACUGAGGCUGAGAGACGUUAGGUAAUUUGUUCACCGUCAUGGGGCUGAUGGUGGCUGAGUAGGACUUGAAGUACAUUCGUGUGGUUCCAGGCCUCUGUUCUGGAUACAUGGGGUCACAUUCCACUUUCUCUCCCAGGUGAAAAUGAAAGCUCCCUUACAGUGUCCAGUCUUGUCCUGGCCUGUGUCCCUGCUCUGGGAUGGGACAGUGUUCCCCAAACUCAGUGAAGACUGGUUGAGGUUAAGCCGAGACUCUCCCUCGGCCUGGCAGACAUGCCAGUGUUUCUCCUGGCUGACACCAAUGGGCGAGGUGGACCCCAGAGUGCCACCCUGGGUGUUGCUUCUCAAAGCCCGGCUCAUUUGCUCUUCAGAGUCUGGUCUGCAGACCAGCAGCAUAAGCAGCCUGGCAGCUUGUUAGAAAUGCCCCUAGGCCAUGCCUGCUGCACCAGAACCUGCACUGUAACGAGUUCACCAGGUGCUUCAGAUGCACGCUGAGUUUUGAAAAGUACUGCUCAAGGUUCUACCUCUGCUUCCAGGUGAGCCAAAGUCUCUGAGCUCAGCCAGGAGACUUGUCUGUUUAAGGUGGGUGCCAGCCCUUCAGAAGCUGGUGCCACCCAACUGUGUAGUCUCAUUUUCAUCUGAGAAGCCACCUAGGUUUGUGCUGGCCCCAGAUUCCAUGGGCGCCCCUCUGGGCCUGCUCCUGGUCACCAUUAUUGUGUUACAGAUACCACCAACAUCCUAGCGCACUACACCCCAUGCUCACCAAGAACUGCUCCAAAGCCCCGCCGCUC